rnacentral:rRNA from 1 species
UACGUAGGGGGCAAGCGUUGUCCGGAAUCAUUGGGCGUAAAGCGCGUGUAGGCGGCCAGAAAAGUCCGCUGUGAAAACUCGAGGCUCAACUUCGAGCUGUCGGUGGAAACUUUCUGGCUAGAGUCCGGAAGAGGAGAAUGGAAUUCCUGGUGUAGCGGUGAAAUGCGCAGAUAUCAGGAAGAACACCCGUGGCGAAGGCGGUUCUCAGGGACGGUACUGACGCUGAGACGCGAAAGCGUGGGGAGCGAACAGG